CUCGUAGGCGGCCAACUAAGUCAGACGUGAAAUCCCUCGGCUUAACCGGGGAACUGCGUCUGAUACUGGAUGGCUUGAGAUUGGGAGAGGGAUGCGGAAUUCCAGGUGUAGCGGUGAAAUGCGUAGAUAUCUGGAGGAACACCGGUGGCGAAGGCGGCAUCCUGGACCAACACUGACGCUGAGAGCGAAAGCCAGGGAGCAAACG
rnacentral:rRNA from 1 species